UGAAUUGUUGAUACACAGAUUUUUAAAGGAC
rnacentral:piRNA from 1 species